UUGUUUAAUAAGUCUUGUAAAUGAAACAUUGAUAAAUGACCAUUUGAAUAGUGAUUUUAUGUAAUAGUUCACCAUGGAAAUUAUGCAUUUUUGAAAAAUGAUAAUUAUGUGUACACAUAUUUAUGUAUAUGUUUGUGAAUUCGAAUGAUGGUUUGGAUAUAUAUAUAUAUAAAGAAAGUUGUAAUAGGCCUAUUUUGCCCGGGCUUAAACCAAAACCAUACCAAAGCCAAAAUAAAAAAAAUAAUAAUAACAAAAUAAAACCCAAUAAUCAGCAGUUCAAUGCCCAUGUUACAAGCCCAAAUUACCUAGCCCACUUACAAGCAAAUUAUUAACCCAAAUUCCUAAUAGCCUUAACCCAAUUGAAACCCUACCCAAUUAUCCUGAGACAGGCCCAAACGACCCAAGACAUUUUUUAGCAGAAACCCUAAGGGUUUCUUUCCCUUGCGUCGCAACUGGUUUCCAGCAGCUUCCAGCACCGCUGCUGCCUUCGUGCCAGCUUCCACACGCGCCGUUACUUCACACUCCACGUCGACACGCCCACGAACGGCUUCUCCACGCUAUACACACCUGCAAUAGACUAACACCUACAAUAGUAAGCAGUAAUUGAUAACCAAUAAUAGCAAAUUACAGCAAGAAAAUUUAUAUUUUUUGAUUUUAUUUAUAUUUUUAUUUUUCGGCUAUAAAACCGAAUGAAGUCAAGUGUAAAGGGAUCUUUUUUUUUCACAAAAAUACAAUACGGAUACUAAAUGAAAUACAAGAAUAAUCAGAAAAUCAAUAUUACUCGAAGGUGAUUUAUUAUAUUUCAAUUUUUUUCGUCUUUUUUUGCUUUCAUUUUUGCAUCUGCUAUAAACAAAAAAGAAGAGGAUAAAUGAUAGGGGUCUCCUGAAUCAUUAGAAUAUCGUCGAAGUUUCUCCCCCAUUAAAACUGAAUCCAACCAAGGUUGAGACGUUCUUUUGAUUCUUUGUGGUUGAAGGUGUUAGAUUCUUAAAUGUUUUUCUAAAUGAGGUUAGAAAUGGAAGAUUUACUCACCGUCGGCCACUAUUAGAGGCGAGGGUACGGCGUCUGAGGGUAGAGAUUUGGGAUUGGUUGAGGAAGAAUCAAGGAAAGGGGGCUAGGGUUAUUUUAGAGAUGGCCGAUUGUUUUCUUUGUUCUUUGAAGGAAAUGUUUGGUUUUAUAAAAGGGAAGAAACGGUUUCGUUUAAGGGGAAGGGGAUCCGCGCGUCGACCCGCUCCGUAGCCCUGAUUCGCGCCUUUGCACUUCAGAUGGGUAAAUUUCGCAAUUCGUCCUUCCUGUCUGCGCUAUUAUUUGAUAGGAUCCUUUUUAUAUUUUCUUUCUUGUUAAUUUUUACCUAAGAUUUGUACGCAGUUUUAAUUUAGCCUAUAGUUAAACGUUGCGUUUUCGAAUUUGGGACAAUUUCCCUUUUAGUCCUCAAACAUUUGUGCGUGUUGUGUUUUAAUCCUUAAUUAUGCUUUGUUGCUUUAUUUAUUUGUAAAUUGUCCUUUUAGUUUUAUUUUUGUCUCAAUUGAGUUUUUAUUUUUAUUUUCUGCUUAUAUUUUUAUUCUUUGUAAUUCUUUUAUUUUUAAAAUUUAUUUGUAAUUCGUCAUUUAAUAUAUUAUCUUGGAGUAUUUUAUUAAUUUUGCAUGGUCUUAGUUUGUUAUUUUAUACUUUCAUUUAUAUACAUGUAUAUAUAUAUGUAAAUAUAUAUAUUUUUAAUUUGUUUAUUUAAAAUGUUCUUUUAUAUAUAUAUUUCUACGUUUAAAGAUUCGUAUGAUAUUUAAUCCAAUACUAUUAUACAUACACGU
rnacentral:lncRNA from 1 species